rfam:Schistosoma margrebowiei strain Zambia genome assembly, scaffold: SMRZ_contig0006060
AUCCAGGUCCCAAAUAGGACGAAACACACGUCCUGGAU